rnacentral:sRNA from 1 species
GCUACUCCUCAAACCUAAAACAAUGGGCUAUCAAGUAGUUAAUGUUUAUACAACUGCAUCCUCCGCUGAUAAUCUAUCCCGUCAUGAAAUGCUCAUGUGGGUAAAUGACUGCCUUCAGGCUCAUUUUACGAAAAUUGAGCAACUUCAUACUGGAGCCGGAUAUUGCUUGGUAAGGAGAGGGGCAUUAUACAAUGCGCAGAACCACUGCAACUUUUUCCUCACGAGGGACGAGGAAAAGUGGUUUCUAGGCCAUGGCCGAGGGGCCGACAAGUUUCAGCGGCCAUUUAUCUUGCUUUGUUUUCCGCCUGUUUUCUUUCGUUUUUCAUCGAUUUUUUCGUUUUUUCUUAUUAAAGCUGAUAAAUAAAUAUUUUUUGCAGAUGCUAAAACAAUUUCCAAGUAAAAAAAUCAUGUAUUCAGUGGGCAAGCAGCGGUGAAAGUGGUCAAUGCAAUAUGAUGGAUUACGGGAAUACAAAACCUAAACUUUUUCUGAAACAUGAUACAUAUGCUGCUUAGAUGCUGAAACUACCUGAUUUUCAUAACGAGACCGCUGAAAAAGUUUUGAGGUUUUCAAAAUUCAACUUUUUGUGCGAAAAUCUCGACUUUUUCACCAAAAAAGUUGAAUUUUGAAAACCUCAAAACUUUUUCAGCGGUCUCGUUAUGAAAAUCAGGUCAUUUCAGCAUUUAAGCAUCAUAUGUAUCAUGUUUCAGAAAAAGUUUAGGUUGUGGUAUUCCCGUAAUCCAUCAUAUUACAAUGCCCACUUUCACCGCUGCUUGCCGACUGAAUACAUAAUUUUUUCACUUGGAAAUUGUUUUAGCAUCUGCAAAAAAUAUUUAUUUAUCAGUUUUAAUAAGAAAAAACGGGAAAAAGCUGAGAAAAACGAAAGAAAACAGGCGGAAAACAAAGCAAGAUAAAUGGCCGCUGAAACUUGUCGGCCCCUCGUCCAUGGCCUAGAAACCACUUUUCCUCGUCCUUCGUGAGGAAAAAGUUGCAGUGAGAACGAAAAUCGCGAGAAAAAGUGGAAUAUUGAAAUUUUAGUGAAAAAGUAAAAUUUUAUGAAAAUUUUUUUUAAAAAACUUACAAUUAGAAAAUCUAAAUUUCAACAUUUAUUGAUUUCUGCUAGUUUUUUCCCCGAAUUCAUGGUAGUUGAUUUAUCUCAUUAACAGCACUUAAAGGAGGACUAACGGUUCGGACGAUUUUGAACGUAUAGGCCUAAAAUGAGCUGAUGAACGAAUUUCGUAAUAAAACUGCUCAAAAAAAAUUUCAAAAGUUUUUUAUGGCGGUUCAAAAUUUUGAAAAAAUUACACUGGUUUUGGCUAAAAUCACGAAUUUUUCCCAUUUUUUCGUGUCACAUCUGUUCGAAGUUGGAUUUUUUGGAAUUAUCGUCCUUUAUUACAUGUAGUGGUAGUUUAUCUCAUUUAAUUUCGUCGAUUAAAGUACAUUUAAAGUAGAAAUUGGUUACCUAUCGGCUUUAAAUGUACUUUCGACAAAUAUCGACGAAAUUAAAUGAGAUAAACUACCACUACAUGUAAUAAAGGACGAUAAUUCCAAAAAAUCCAACUUCGAACAGAUGUGACACGGAAAGAUGGGGAAAAAUUCGUGAUUUUAGCCAAACUCAGUUUAAUUUUUUCAAAAUUUUGAACCACCAUAAAAAAUUUUUUGAAAUUGUUUUGAGCAGUUUCAUUACGAAAUUCGUUCAUUUCAGCUCAUUUUAGGCCUAUACGUUCAAAAUCGUCCGAACCGUUAGUCCUCCUGUAAUAAAUAACGUUAACAUAUAAUUUUUCUGUUAUAGUUAAUUUAAUUACUAUUAUUAUUAUUAUAAUAACGCCUAAAUUGUGCAGAAUUCUCCAUUUUUUUCAUUUUCGGGUACCACCACACGAUUCAUUUUGAAGCUGCCAGUUGAAGCUGAAAGGGAUGAAAACAAUACAAUUUUCGUGAUUUUAGAAUGUGUUUGAAAAAAUGAAAAAAAUCUAUGUUACAAAAAAAUUCCAAAAAAAUCGAAAGUUCAACGAAUUUUAAUCGAAUUUCGUGAAAAUUGGACCCAAAAUUGCAAAUUUCUAGGUAAACCUCAAAAUUUUGUCAUUUUUUACUUCAAAAAUCGGAAAUAAAAUGAAUAUUUGUGUUGCAGUUCACCGAUUUCCUAUUCCCUGAUAGUAUUCAAUUGAAGAAAGUGAAAUGGAAUAGUCGUCUUGAAUUGGAUUGGCUUUCCAACUGGAAACUAGUGCAGACUACGUGGAAGAAUUUGGGUGUCGAGAAAGUGAUUCCUGUUGAUAAAUUGAUUAAGGGAAAAUUUCAGGUAUACACAAUACAAACUACAAAGUAUCUAGCUUAACUUUAAAUGUGAUCGGAUGUGAAAUUAAUGAAUUUCAUGAUGAAACUGUUUGAAAAUGAAAAUUUCUAAAAAAAAAAUAUUAUGCCGACUCAAAAAAUGGCCUAAAAUUAGUUAAAAUUUGAAAUUCGACCGACUUGUCAAUCGGCUGGAACCUAAUUUUUUUGAAAUCACCGUGUAAUUUUGGGCAUAAAAGUUUAUUAUCUUGAGUUUUUAACUCGAUUUAGGUACAUUUUGUUUCGGAGCUACUUCCGGCCCUUGUGAGGAUUAUUAGGAUCUUUACACUGUGUAUUUACUCAUAAUUUAUUGCGUUAAUAAAAGCUAUCAUUAAAAGUAGAAUCAAUCAAUUAUCACGUCUCCCGAUAGUCGGAGCGAAGCGAGUGAGUGGAGGAGCGCCAUCCAAUUUAGGCCAAUGCAAAUCCUCGUGGGUUACUGUCACAGUUGUCGUCACGUGUGUCGUCGCGAGACCACCAUUGCUGCUCCUUUAAUCGUACACAUUUGGCGGCAGUUUGAAUUAGGGUUUUCCUUGUUGCUCGAAUAGCUCAUUGACUGGUGUAGUUGUACUUGGCAUUGCUCAGAAGAUUGAAUGGGAAGUUGAUAGCAGUUAUAAUACGUAACAAUUUGAAGUAUUAUUCUUAAUAAAUCUUUGUAUUUAUUACAGUCGUGAACAGUGGAAUUUCUUUAUUCCCUGUCUUCGCGACACAUUUAAGGUGGAAGAGGAAUGUUCCUAACAAGAAAAGGUUUUUAGUUUACCGUCAGACUUCAAAACGAGACAUGUGCCAUUUGAAAGUGUUCUAUAAGGAUAUGUCACUGCAAAAUUUUAAGCGGCAAAGCUCCGCUCUCAAUCUCUCUCUAGCAUUGAUCUGAAAACGUUUCAGUGCAUUUUUUCACUACUUUGGAGGCCUGUAGAAUUGCUCAAAAUUUUUUUUUUGCAAACGAUCAAUGUUUUUCAGAAAGUUUAAAAGUAGGAAAACAAUUUGGUAGAUUUUUGGAAAAUUUUUAAUUUUUUUCGAAAAAAAUCUGAAAAUUCUUGAUAUUUUUCAAAAAAAUUUAAAACUUUCAAAAAAUCUACCAAAUUGUUUUCCUACUUUUAAACUUUCUGAAAAACAUUUAAAGUUUGCAAAAAAAAAUUUUGGAGCAAUUCUACAUGCCUCCAAAGUAGUGAAAAAAUGCACUGAAACGUUUUCAGAUCAAUGCUAGAGAGAUUGAGAGCGGAGCUUUGCCGCUUAAAAAUUUGCAGUGACAUAUCCUUAUAGAACACUUUCAAAUGGCACAUGUCUCGUUUUGAAGUCUGACGGUAAACUAAAAACCUUUUCUUGUUAGGAACAUUCCUCUUCCACCGUUAAUGUACCUAAAUUGAGUUGAAAACUCAAGAUAAUAAACUGGUAUGCCCAAAAUUACACGGUGAUUUCAAAAAAAAAAAGUUUCCAGCCGCUUGGCAAGUCGGUCAAAUUUUAAAUUUUAGCUAAUUUUAGGCCAUUUUUUGAGCCGUCAUAACUUUUUUUUCGUAAAGUUUUCAAAAAGUUUCAUUAUGAAAUUCGGCGUUUUCAGACAAUUUUGAGUCUAAUAAAGCACCUUUAAUCUUCUAUCAAUUUAAAAAAUUCAAUUUUUGCAGGACAACUUUGAAUUCUUGCAAUGGUUCAAGAAAUUGUUCGAUGCUAACUAUGAUGGACAUGAGUAUGAUCCAAUGCAAGCACGUAAUGGAGAAGGUCUUCCGACUGAAGGGGGUCCAGCUGCUGGAGCUUCAGCGAAGACUCCGUCGAGAAUGCCGGCUAGAAGUGUUCCGCAGUACGGUUUUUUUUGGAAAUCUCGUUAUUCAAUUUUUCUAUAUACCAGGGGUGAUGAACAGCAAACGAUUAUUUAUUCCGGCAAAUUUUCAGAAUUGCCGGAAUUUAAAUUUCCGAUAAAUCGGCGAAUUGCCGGUUUGCCGAAUGUUUGCCCAAUUCGCCGAAAACUUUCAAUUCCGGCAAAUUUCAGAUUUUCCGAUUUGCCGGAAUUUUUCUAUUCCGGCAAGUUGCCGAUUUUCCGCUUUGCCGGAACUUUCCAAUUCCGGCAAAUUGCCGAUUUUUCGAUAUGCCGGAAAUUUUCAAUUCCGGCAAAUUGCCGAUUUGCCGGAAUGUUUCUAUUCCGGCAAGUUGCCGAUUUUCGGAAAAUUUUCAUUUUUGGCGAUUUGCUGGAAAUUUUCAAUUCUGGCAAAUUGCCGGUUUGCCGAAUUUGCACGAAAUUUUCAUUUUCGGCAAAUUGUAGGCUUGCCUAAUUUUCCGGAAAAAUUUAAAUUUCGGCAAAAAGCCGAUUUGCCGGAAUAUAUGAAUUUCGGCGAACUGCUGAUUUGACGAAAAUUAUCAAUUUUGGCAAUUUGCCGGAAAUUUUCAUUUUUGGCAAAUUUCAGGUUUUCCGAUUUGCCGGACAGUUUCAAAUUCGGCAAAUUGCGGAUCUACCUGAAAUACUCCAUUCAGGUUUGCCUAAUUUGCCGGAAAAAAAAUUAAGUUCCGGUUUGCCGUUUUGCCGGAAAUAUUCAGUUCCCGCAAGUUGCUGAUUUGGUGGAAAUUGUCGUCUUCGGCAAAUUUCCGGUUUCCCCAUUUGCCGGAAAUGUUAAUUUUUGCCAAAUUGCCGAUUUGCCGGAAUAUAUAAAUUCCGGCGAAUUGCUGAUUUGAUGGGAAUUAUCAAUUUUGGCAAUUUGCCGGAAAUGUUCAUUUUUGGAAAAUUGCCCAUUUACCGGAAAUUUUCAUUUUUGGAAAAUUUCAGGUUUGCCCAAUUGCGGGAAAUUAUCGAUUCCGGCAAAUUGCAUGUUUGCCCAAUUUGCCGAAAACUUUCAAUUCCGGCAAAUUGCCGAUUUUUCGAUUCCGGCACAUUUCAGAUUUUCCAAUAUGCCGGAUAUUUGCAAUUCCGGCAAUAUGCCGAUUUUCCGCUUUGCCGGAACUUUCCAAUACCGGCAAAUUGCCGAUUUUCCGAUAUGCCGGAAAUUUUCAAUUCCGGCAAAUUGCCGAUUUGCCGGAAUUUUUCUAUUCCGGCAAGUUGCCGAUUUUCGGAAAAUUUUCAUUUUUGGCGAUUUGCCGGAAAUUUUCAAUUCCGGCCAGUUGCCGAUUUGCCAGAAAUUAUAAAUUCCGGCCAGUUGCCGAUUUGCCAGAAAUUAUGAAUUCCGGCAAAUUUCCAUUUUGCCGGAAAUUUUCAAUUCCGGCAAAUGCAGGUUUGCCUAAUUUGCCGGAAAUUUUCAAUUCCGGCCAGUUGCCGAUUUGCCAGAAAUUAUGAAUUCCGGCAAAUUUCCAUUUUGCCGGAAAUUUUCUAUUCCGGCAAAUUUCCAUUUUGCCGGAAAUUUUCAAUUCCGGCAAAUGCAGGUUUGCCUAAUUUGCCGGAAAAUGUUCCAUUCCGGCAAUCUGCCGAUUUUUGGCGAUUUGCCGGAAAUUUUCUGCAAAUCGCAUGAUGAUUGCCUAAUUUGCCGGAAUAAUUCAAUUCCGGCAAAAUGCCAAAUGCUUGCCACCCACCUCUCUGUUUCAUACUAGUUUAUUUCGAAAAAAAAAUUUUUUUCUGAAAUAAAAAAAAAUACACUAAAUUUUUUGAAAAUUGAAAUUUUUAAUUAAAAAAAACUUUUUUUUUUUCAGAAAACCAGUGACCACAAUGAGAACUCCAGCCGCCACCCCGGCUGCUCCACCAACCCGUCCAACUCCAUCCCGUUCUUCAGCUGCUCCGAGAGCAACAGCUCCAACUCCAACAGCAGCACCUCCAAAAACUUGUGCACCGCCCGUUCGUUCUGCAUCAACCGUAGCAGCGGCUGCUGCUGCUGCACCACCGGGAGUCGAUAUGGCGACAUUUAAUAAAUUAAAAGAAGAACUGGAAGAAGUUACACGUCAGCUGACAGAAUCUGACAAUGUUAUUGCAAGUCUGGAAAAAGAAAGAGACUUUUAUUUUAGUAAACUUCGAACGAUUGAAGUUAUUUGUCAGGAUAAUGAAUCGAUUGGAAAUGUUGAAGUUAAUCGAGUUUUGGAGGUAAAAAUUGAUGAAAAUUGGGAAAAACUACCGAAAGUAGCCUGAAAUUUGGAUCAGGGAUGUGCGGCAAAUUUGCCGAAUUUGCCGAAUUUGCCGAAUUUGCCGAGCUCGGCAAAUUUCAAAAAAGUAGAUUUGCCGAAUUUGCCGCACACGUCAAAAAUUUUACAGUACAAUUUUGACUAAAACUAUUGAUUUUUUAGCCAAAAAUUUAGUAAAAUGACACAAAAUUGACUUAGUUUUAUGCUUAAACAGACAUACUACGCGGAACUUAUUCAGAAACCAGAUGUGUGUUAAGAAUUCAGUAGAUUUGGUGCUCCAAAAAACAUAAAAAAUAUCAAAUUUUUUCGAGUUUUGCACGGCAAAUUUGCCGAAUUUGCCGUUUGCCGAGCUCGGCAAAUUUUGAGAUUUGCCGCACACCCCUGAUUUGGAUUUAGAAUGUUUAGAAAAGAGCAAUUUUAGAGAUAAAAUUCAAGAAAUUUAAAAAAUUCCGAAAUUUUUGAUAAUUGCUAAUUUCCAACUAUAUCAAAGUCAAAAAAGUGAGACUUUUUUGAAAAUUUUGAUUUUUUUUAAUUUAGAAAAUUCUCGAAAAUUUGAAAAAAAAUUCAAAUUAUUCGGAAAAUUGCGUAUAUUUGUGUGAAAAAUAAAAAAAAAUAAUUUAAAAAUUCCGAAAAUUUGAAGAAAGUAUGUUUAAAACAUUUUUUUAAUUGAAAAAUUCCGGAAAUUUCAAAAAAAAAAUUUUGUUUGAAAACAUAUGAAAAACUAUUUAAAGUAUCAAUUUUUAGAUAAAAUUCAAGAAAUUUCAAAAAUUCCGAAAAUUCCAAAAUUUUUGAUAAUUGCUCAUUUCCAACAAUAUCAAAAAUGAAAAAAAGUGAAAAUUUUGUUGAAAAUUUAAAUUUUUUUUUUUAAUUUAGAAAAUUCUCGGAAAAUUGCGUAUAUUUGUGUGAAAAAUUCCUAAAGUGAGAUUUUUCGGAAAUUUUCAUUUUUGGCGAUUUGCCUAAUAUGCCGGAAAUUAUCAAUUCCGGCAAAUUGCCGUUUUUCCGAUUUGCCGGAAAAAUUUGAAACAUUUGGGAAAAAAAUUGUUUUUGAAAUUUUUAAAAAUAAUUAUCUAUGUAAAUUAAAAAAAAUAUAUAUAUAUGUAUAUAACUUUUUUAUUUAAAAAUUCCGAAAAUUCGAAAAAAAAACAUAUGUUUGGAAAUUUCAACUUUUUUAUUUACAAAAAAAUUUAAACUUCAAAAAAAAUCUGCUUUGAAAAUUUAUGAAAAAAUAUUUAAAGUAGCAUAUAUAUUUGCAAAACAUUGAAAAUUUGGCUGAAAAAACUGAAAAUUUAAUCAAUUUUGAAAAUAAAAAAAUGUAAAUUUUGAAAAUAAAAAAAACUUUCAAAAUUUUUGAUAAUUGCUAAUUUCCAACUAUAUCAAAAGUAAAAAAGUGAGACUUUUUUUGAAAAUUUAAAUUUUUUAAAUUUAGAAAAUUCUCGGAAAUUUGAAAAAAAAGAACAAUUAUUCGUAAAAUUGCAAAUAUUUGUGUGGAAAAUGUGUGGAAAUUAAAAAAAAAUUUCAUCUAAAAAUUCCCAAAAUUUGAAGAAAGUAUGUUUGAAACAUUUCAUUAAUUUUUUUUAUAAUUAAAUUCCGGAAAUUUCAAAAAAAAAAAUUUUGUUUGAAAACAUAUGAAAAACUAUUUAAAGUAUCAUCAAUUUUUAGAUAAAAUUCAAGAAAUUUCAAAAAUUCCAAAAUUUUUGAUAAUUGCUAAUUUCCAACUAUAUCAAAGUCAAAAAAGUGAAAAUUUUGUUGAAAAUUUUGAAUUUUUUUUAAAUUCAGAAACUUUAUAAGAAAAACAACCAAAGGUAACUUUUUAGUAUAUUUUUUCAUUGGAAAUUUUGAAGAAAAUUUUUUAAAAAUAAAACUUCUCGAAAAUUUGAAAAAAAAAUAAAAUUCGAAAGUUACGUAUAUUUGUGUGAAAAAAACGUUUUUUAUUUCAAUUUAAAAAAUUCCUAAAAUUUUGAAAAAAUAUCAACCGAAAAAAAACAUUUUUUUUAAAUGAAAAUUCUCGGAAAGUAGCGAAAAAUUCCGAAAGUGAUGCAUAUUCACAAAAAAAAUUAUUUUUUAUUUAAUAAAAAAACGUAAUUUUGAAACAUUUUUUUGUUUAAAAAUGUUUUUUUUUAUUUACAAAAAAAAUUAAAAUUCCGGAAAAGUCUGAAAUUGAAUAUUAAAAAAAAAAAGAAAACAGCAAUUUAUCCCUUAAUUUUGAAAAAUAUUCAAUUUCGACAUUUUACUUUUUUUAAAAUUAGAUUUAAAAUUUCUGAAAAUUUGCAGAAAAAACUGAAAAAAUAACUACCCCGAAAAAAAAGUUCUUAAAAACAUAUUUCCAGGUUCUCUACGAGACGGAAGAAGGAUUCGCACCACCAGAAGACGAGGCAAAUGGCGGAGCAGAAGCCGAAGAAUUCUAAACUAUUUAAUAUUUUCUCUAUUGUUUAAUUCCAGCUUUCAAGCCAAGCUUCUACCCAAACACUUCAAUUUUACUCCCAAAAAAAUAUGCGAUUUUACAAUGUUAUAUUUCACCGAAAACCCCCUCUGCUUAUAAUUAUAGUUAACUUAUUAAUUUUCAUGAACUUAUUCAAUAACUGCACCAAAUUGGCCGCCGCUUCUUCUUUUCCACUUGAAAUUUUCAGUUUUUCUUUUUUCAUUCUUCCAUCCCAACACCUAUGACAUUGUCAGUAUUUUAAUUGAUUGGCUUUCAAUUUUUUUUCGAUUUUAAAAAUCAUUUCCUUUUUUUCACCGAACAUUUAACGCUUUUUUCUAAUUGUUACGUCGUGCUUUUCUUUGUGCUAAAAUAAAUUAUGAUAUUUAAAAAAGAAUUUUGCUUCCUUCAAACAAAAAUUUCAAAAAAUGAUGGGUCUGCUAAAUACAUUUUGUAGUUUGUAGUCUGGCAUACCCACUUAGUAAAAUCAUCAGUUUUUGCUGUAAUUUUGAACAGUUUUCCCUUAAAUUUUGCAUUUUCUCGGGAUUUGAAUGUGACAAUUCAUGAAAAUUUACUCAAAAAAUCGAUUUUUCGCAUAGAAAAUAUUGGAAUUUUGGGAUUUAAAUUUGUAGUCGUUGAUCAUAUUUUCAAAAUGCUCCAAACAGACAAAUUUUAAGUUUAGAGCAAAAAUUGAUUGACAAAACGAUGAAAAUAUGCCCAACGACUCCAAAUUCCAAUUUUUAAAGUCUUUAUCUACACUCAUUUUUUCUAUUUUCUUUUCUGAGCACACCAUAACUGGUUAGAUGCUUGGGUCUGCUAAAUAUUUUUGUGUAGUUUGUAGUCUGGCAAACCCACUCGGUGAAAAUGGCCAAUUUUGCUGUAAUUUUAAGAGGUUAUCCUGAUUUUUGGCGGGAAAAAUCUCAAAAUGUGCAUUUUCUCGGAGCAUGUAAUUGAAAAUUUACUCAAAAAAAUCGAUUUUUCGCUUAGAAAAUAUUUGAAUUCGGCAAAAUUAUGCAUAAAAUCACAAUUUAACCCGUCUGAAAACCCGAAAAUCCACAUUUUUCAUCGAUUUUCUGUUAAAAAUCUGCUUAUUUUCACCUGAAAACACAAAAUUUAGUCGAAAAAAUGAUGGGUCGGCUAAAUAAUUUUGUGUAGUUUGUAGUCUAGCAGACCGGAAACGAUUAUUUUUCGAUUUUUCUUUUUUUUUUAACCCAAAAGUUUGGGUCUGCUAAACAUUGUUGUGUAGUUUGUAGUGUGGCAGGCCCAAUUGCUUCAACAUUGGACUGUGUCACUGGAAUUUGAGAUUUAGAAAUAAUUUAUUGCGCGUAGUAAAACUAAUCAAGUGAACAUUUUGAACGGGUGAAAAAGCGAAUAAAUAAAAAAUAAAUAAAUAUUUAAAAAAUGCGUGGGCGGUGGAAUGUACAAAUUAUCGAUUGAUGAUUCUCAACAUAAUCCUUCAUCAUCGUCAUCUUCUUGUCCGUCACCGAGUCCCGCAUUUCCAGACGGUGCUUUUAGAAUUUUCAUCACUCGGAGAUACUGAAAAAUUGAACGGUUUUUAGGAUGAUAAUUCGAUAAAAUGAGCCAAACCUCAUUGUCCAUAGACCGUAGGGCUCCACAUUUCAGUACAUUCUGGAAACUUUCAUCAUCGCCAGCCUCAUAGAAUCCGAUAAGAUUCUCACAUACACGUCCAUCUUCUGAUGUUUGAAAAUCCGGAGAUUGACUGCAAAAAAUUGAAUUUUCGAUGGAAUUGUUUAAAUUUUGAUUAGAAAAAAAAAAUCGAUUUUUCAAAAACUUACAUUUUUUUUAGAGCUACGAAAUUGUUUUUUUUGUUCUGAUUUUUUCGAAAAAAAAAUGGUCUGCUAAACUACAAUCUACAAACCAUUUAGGUCUGCUAAUUAUUUUCUGUAGUUUGUAGUCUGGCAGACCCACAAAUGGGUCUGCCAGAGUACAAAAACUGCAAAAAUACAGUUUUUAGAAUUUUCCGUUUUUCUAACAAAAGUGCAAAUUUACGAAAAAUCAGCAUUUUUGCAAUAAAAAACUGGACAAUUCGGCAAAAACCGGUUUAAAAAAAAUAUUUCCGUGUAGUUUGUAGUUUGGGUCUGCCAGACUACAAACUACAGAAAAUAAUUAGCAGACCUAAAUGGUUUGUAGUUUGUUGUCUGGCAGACCCAAACUACAAACUACACGGAAAUAUUUUUUUUAAACCGGUUUUUGCCGAAUUGUCCAGUUUUUUAUUGCAAAAAUGCUGAUUUUUCGUAAAUUUGCACUUUUGUUAGAAAAACGGAAAAUUCCAAAGACCCAUUUGUGGGUCUGCCAGACUACAAACUACAAACCACUUGGGUCUGCUGAUUAUAUUUUGUAGUUUGUAGUCUGGCAGACCCAAAUCAGUUUGGGUCUGCCAGACUACAAACUACACAACAGCUUCGAAAAAUCGAGUUUCGUCGUAUUUUUCGACUUCUUCCGCAUAAAUUUCAAUUUUUAAUAAAAUUUUUCGCGUGUCUUCGUACCAAAUAACCCAUCCAUAAUCUUUGAGAGCCGCCACUGAAUCUUCCAGAGCCAAAUUCACUAUAACAAGACCGAUUCCGAGUUGGCCAAUACGUGGAUAUUCCUGAAAAUCGGAAAAAUUUAAAAAAAAUCUUUGUCAAAAUUUAGAAAAUUCAAAAUUCUUGUAGUUUGUAGUCUAGCAGACCAAUUUUUUAAAUAAAGUUGAAAAAUUCAAAUUUUCGUAAAAAUACACGGAAAAAUCAGAAAUUGAUUGUUUUUUUUGUAGUUUGUAGUCUAAAAAAUAGCACGUCCCACUAUAAACUACAAAAGUUCAAUUUUUAAAAAAGUGAAAAACAAAAAAAAAUCAAAAAUUUGCAAUUUUUCAGAACAUCCAAAAAAAUUAAAAAAUUUUGUUUUUUUUUUCGUUUUUUCUAUAGAAUUUUCGUGUAGUUUGUAGUCUAUCAGUACCCGAAUUUCGGCGAAUUUCUCAAUUUCCUCCCGAAUCGAUCCGAGUGCUCCUUUAUAAUCAGUCAAUUGUAGUGAUAAUUUUGUGAUUUGUUUCAAGAAAUUGCUCGCCAUUUUUGCACGAUCCGAUUGUUGGACCAAAGCCAAUCCACGUUGGUAAAUCUGCAAAAAAAAUUGAUUUUUUAUCAAUCGGCUGUGCAUUUUCUCAGGAAAUUUUGUGGAAAAACCACGGAAAAUCGAUUUUUUACCCAGAAAACUUGAAAAACACCAUUUUCAGAGCUUUUAUAGCCAAAAAAUGCCGAGAAUCCGAAUAUUUCCAGUUAAAAACGCAAAAAAAAAAUCAAAAUUUAGUCGAAAAAUAUGGGUCUGCUAAAUACAUUUUGUAGUUUGUAGUCUGGCAGACCCAUUUGGUAAAAAUCGUCAAUUUUGCUCUAAUUUUGAGCAAUUUUCCAGAUUUUUUGGCUGGAUCACUCUCAAUUAUGCAUUUUCUCGAAAAUUUGCAGAAAAAAAUCAAUUUUCACAUAGAAAAUAUGCAUAAAAUCACAUUUUUCGCCAAAAAAACCGUCUAAAAACCCAAAAAAAUACACAUUUUCUGUGAGAAACGGAGUUUUGCCCUAAAAAUCUGCUCAUUUUCGUUUGAAAACUCAAAAUUUUGUCUAACUAUGAUGGACAUGAGUAUGAUCCAAUGCAAGCACGUAAUGGAGAAGGUCUUCCGACUGAAGGGGGUCCAGCUGCUGGAGCUUCAGCGAAGACUCCGUCGAGAAUGCCGGCUAGAAGUGUUCCGCAGUACGGUUUUUUUUGGAAAUCUCGUUAUUCAAUUUUUCUAUAUACCAGGGGUGAUGAACAGCAAACGAUUAUUUAUUCCGGCAAAUUUUCAGAAUUGCCGGAAUUUAAAUUUCCGAUAAAUCGGCGAAUUGCCGGUUUGCCGAAUGUUUGCCCAAUCCGCCGAAAACUUUCAAUUCCGGCAAAUUUCAGAUUUUCCGAUUUGCCGGAAUUUUUCUAUUCCGGCAAGUUGCCGAUUUUCCGCUUUGCCGGAACUUUCCAAUUCCGGCAAAUUGCCGAUUUUUCGAUAUGCCGGAAAUUUUCAAUUCCGGCAAAUUGCCGAUUUGCCGGAAUGUUUCUAUUCCGGCAAGUUGCCGAUUUUCGGAAAAUUUUCAUUUUUGGCGAUUUGCUGGAAAUUUUCAAUUCUGGCAAAUUGCCGGUUUGCCGAAUUUGCACGAAAUUUUCAUUUUCGGCAAAUUGUAGGCUUGCCUAAUUUUCCGGAAAAAUUUAAAUUUCGGCAAAAAGCCGAUUUGCCGGAAUAUAUGAAUUUCGGCGAACUGCUGAUUUGACGAAAAUUAUCAAUUUUGGCAAUUUGCCGGAAAUUUUCAUUUUUGGCAAAUUUCAGGUUUUCCGAUUUGCCGGACAGUUUCAAAUUCGGCAAAUUGCGGAUCUACCUGAAAUACUCCAUUCAGGUUUGCCUAAUUUGCCGGAAAAAAAAUUAAGUUCCGGUUUGCCGUUUUGCCGGAAAUAUUCAGUUCCCGCAAGUUGCUGAUUUGGUGGAAAUUGUCGUCUUCGGCAAAUUUCCGGUUUCCCCAUUUGCCGGAAAUGUUAAUUUUUGCCAAAUUGCCGAUUUGCCGGAAUAUAUAAAUUCCGGCGAAUUGCUGAUUUGAUGGGAAUUAUCAAUUUUGGCAAUUUGCCGGAAAUGUUCAUUUUUGGAAAAUUGCCCAUUUACCGGAAAUUUUCAUUUUUGGAAAAUUUCAGGUUUGCCCAAUUGCGGGAAAUUAUCGAUUCCGGCAAAUUGCAUGUUUGCCCAAUUUGCCGAAAACUUUCAAUUCCGGCAAAUUGCCGAUUUUUCGAUUCCGGCACAUUUCAGAUUUUCCAAUAUGCCGGAUAUUUGCAAUUCCGGCAAUAUGCCGAUUUUCCGCUUUGCCGGAACUUUCCAAUACCGGCAAAUUGCCGAUUUUCCGAUAUGCCGGAAAUUUUCAAUUCCGGCAAAUUGCCGAUUUGCCGGAAUUUUUCUAUUCCGGCAAGUUGCCGAUUUUCGGAAAAUUUUCAUUUUUGGCGAUUUGCCGGAAAUUUUCAAUUCCGGCCAGUUGCCGAUUUGCCAGAAAUUAUAAAUUCCGGCCAGUUGCCGAUUUGCCAGAAAUUAUGAAUUCCGGCAAAUUUCCAUUUUGCCGGAAAUUUUCAAUUCCGGCAAAUGCAGGUUUGCCUAAUUUGCCGGAAAUUUUCAAUUCCGGCCAGUUGCCGAUUUGCCAGAAAUUAUGAAUUCCGGCAAAUUUCCAUUUUGCCGGAAAUUUUCUAUUCCGGCAAAUUUCCAUUUUGCCGGAAAUUUUCAAUUCCGGCAAAUGCAGGUUUGCCUAAUUUGCCGGAAAAUGUUCCAUUCCGGCAAUCUGCCGAUUUUUGGCGAUUUGCCGGAAAUUUUCUGCAAAUCGCAUGAUGAUUGCCUAAUUUGCCGGAAUAAUUCAAUUCCGGCAAAAUGCCAAAUGCUUGCCACCCACCUCUCUGUUUCAUACUAGUUUAUUUCGAAAAAAAAAUUUUUUUCUGAAAUAAAAAAAAAUACACUAAAUUUUUUGAAAAUUGAAAUUUUUAAUUAAAAAAAACUUUUUUUUUUUCAGAAAACCAGUGACCACAAUGAGAACUCCAGCCGCCACCCCGGCUGCUCCACCAACCCGUCCAACUCCAUCCCGUUCUUCAGCUGCUCCGAGAGCAACAGCUCCAACUCCAACAGCAGCACCUCCAAAAACUUGUGCACCGCCCGUUCGUUCUGCAUCAACCGUAGCAGCGGCUGCUGCUGCUGCACCACCGGGAGUCGAUAUGGCGACAUUUAAUAAAUUAAAAGAAGAACUGGAAGAAGUUACACGUCAGCUGACAGAAUCUGACAAUGUUAUUGCAAGUCUGGAAAAAGAAAGAGACUUUUAUUUUAGUAAACUUCGAACGAUUGAAGUUAUUUGUCAGGAUAAUGAAUCGAUUGGAAAUGUUGAAGUUAAUCGAGUUUUGGAG